UACGGAGGGGGCUAGCGUUGUUCGGAAUUACUGGGCGUAAAGCGCACGUAGGCGGAUUUGUAAGUCAGGGGUGAAAUCCCGGGGCUCAACCCCGGAACUGCCUUUGAUACUGCGAAUCUUGAGUCCGGAAGAGGUGAGUGGAAUUCCUAGUGUAGAGGUGAAAUUCGUAGAUAUUAGGAAGAACACCAGUGGCGAAGGCGGCUCACUGGUCCGGUACUGACGCUGAGGUGCGAAAGCGUGGGGAGCAAACAGG
rnacentral:rRNA from 1 species